rnacentral:rRNA from 1 species
AGAUUGAACGCUGGCGGAAUGCUUUACACAUGCAAGUCGAACGGUAGAGGGGGCAACCCUCGAGAGUGGCGAACGGGUGAGUAAUAUAUCGGAACGUGCCCAGUCGUGGGGGAUAACGUAGCGAAAGUUACGCUAAUACCGCAUACGAUCUACGGAUGAAAGCGGGGGAUCGCAAGACCUCGCGCGAUUGGAGCGGCCGAUAUCAGAUUAGGUAGUUGGUGGGGUAAAGGCUCACCAAGCCAACGAUCUGUAGCUGGUCUGAGAGGACGACCAGCCACACUGGAACUGAGACACGGUCCAGACUCCUACGGGAGGCAGCAGUGGGGAAUUUUGGACAAUGGACGCAAGUCUGAUCCAGCCAUUCCGCGUGCAGGAUGAAGGCCCUCGGGUUGUAAACUGCUUUUGUACGGAACGAAAAGGUUUCUAUUAAUACUAGGAGCUCAUGACGGUACCGUAAGAAUAAGCACCGGCUAACUACGUG